rnacentral:rRNA from 1 species
AGCAGUAGCCGCGGUAAUGCGUAGGUGGCAAGCGUUGUCCGGAAUUAUUGGGCGUAAAGGGCUCGCAGGCGGUUUCUUAAGUCUGAUGUGAAAGCCCCCGGCUCAACCGGGGAGGGUCAUUGGAAACUGGGAAACUUGAGUGCAGAAGAGGAGAGUGGAAUUCCACGUGUAGCGGUGAAAUGCGUAGAGAUGUGGAGGAACACCAGUGGCGAAGGCGACUCUCUGGUCUGUAACUGACGCUGAGGAGCGAAAGCGUGGGGAGCGAACAGGAUUAGAUACCCCUGUAGUCCCUGUCUCUUAUAC